UACGGAGGGUGCAAGCGUUAAUCGGAAUUACUGGGCGUAAAGCGCGCGUCGGUGGCUUGAUAAGCCGGUUGUGAACGCCCCGGGCUCAACCGGGGAACGGCAUCCGGAACUGUCAAGUGAGAGGGCAGGAGAGGAAGGUAGAAUUCCCGGUGUAGCGGUGAAAUGCGUAGAGAUCGGGAGGAAUACCAGUGGCGAAGGCGGCCUUCUGGACUGACACUGACACUGAGGUGCGAAAGCGUGGGUAGCAAACAGG
rnacentral:misc_RNA from 1 species